rnacentral:misc_RNA from 1 species
GAUGAAGAACGCAGCGAAAUGCGAUAAGUAAUGCGAAUUGCAGAAUUUCCGUGAGUCAUCGAAUCUUUGAACGCACAUUGCGCCCUUCGGUAUUCCGUAGGGCAUGCCUGUUCGAGCGUCAUUUAAACCUUCAAGCUCUGCUUGGUGUUGGGUGUCUGUCUCGCCUCCGUGCGUGGACUCGCCUUAAAAUCAUUGGCAGCCGGUAGUUUGGCUUCGUGCGCAGCAGAAUACGCGCGUGAGACUGGGCUGUCGGCUUUCCACAUGUCUCUUUUUAGUUUGACCUCGGAUCAGGUAGGGAUACCCGCUGAACUUAAGCAUAUCAAUAAGCGGAGGA